ACUGCGGGCCGUGACUGGCGCGCUGGGAUGGGACCGACCAUCGGGGAGCGGCCCGAACGGGAAAGAGUGCCGUGCGCCUGGGCCGUACCG
rnacentral:ncRNA from 2 species